ACCAAAUAUUUGUGUUCUUUCAUGGCAUCCAGUCUAAGAGGACAGGGUUCUUCUAGAGAUCCGACGCUGGUAAAUCAGGUUCUCCUGGAGAUCUGACACAGGUAAAUUAGGUUCUUCUAGAGAUGUAAUGCAGGUAAACAAGGUUCUCCUGGAGAUCUGUCGCAGGUAAAUGAGGUUCUCCUGGAGAUCUGGAUCAGGUAAAUUAGGUUCUAGAUUUCUGGUUCGCAUAAAUAAGAUUCUCCUACAGAUCUGACACAGGUAAAUGAGGUUCUCCUGGAGAUCUGGUGCAGGUAAAUUAGGUUCUAGAUUUUCGGUGCAGUUAAAUGAGGUUCUCCUGGAGAUCUGGUGCAGGUAAAUUAGGUUCUAGAUUUUCGGUGCAGUUAAAUGAGGUUCUCUUAGAUUUCUGGUGCAGGUAAAUUAGGUUCUAGAUUUCUGUUGCAGUUACAUGAGGUUCUUCUAGAGAUC